rnacentral:tRNA from 1 species
GCUCCGUUAGCUCAAUUGGAGAGAGCAGAGGAAUUCUAAUCCUCAGGUUGUAGAUUCGAGUUCUACACGGAGUGCCA